rnacentral:rRNA from 1 species
GACGAACGCUGGCGGCGUGCUUAACACAUGCAAGUCGAACGCUGAAGCUUGGUGCUUGCACUGGGUGGAUGAGUGGCGAACGGGUGAGUAAUACGUGAGUAACCUGCCCUUGACUCUGGGAUAAGCCUGGGAAACUGGGUCUAAUACUGGAUACGACAUGCCACUGCAUGGUGGUGUGUGGAAAGGGUUUUACUGGUUUUGGAUGGGCUCACGGCCUAUCAGCUUGUUGGUGGGGUAAUGGCCUACCAAGGCGACGACGGGUAGCCGGCCUGAGAGGGUGACCGGCCACACUGGGACUGAGAAACGGCCCAGACUCCUACGGGAGGCAGCAGUGGGGAAUAUUGCACAAUGGGCGGAAGCCUGAUGCAGCGACGCCGCGUGAGGGAUGACGGCCUUCGGGUUGUAAACCUCUUUCAGCACGGAAGAAGCGAGAGUGACGGUACGUGCAGAAGAAGCGCCGGCUAACUACGUG